UACGAAGGGGGCUAGCGUUGCUCGGAAUCACUGGGCGUAGAGGGUGCGUAGGCGGGUCUUUAAGUCAGGGGUGAAAUCCUGGAGCUCAACUCCAGAACUGCCUUUGAUACUGAGGAUCUUGAGUUCGGGAGAGGUGAGUGGAACUGCGAGUGUAGAGGUGAAAUUCGUAGAUAUUCGCAAGAACACCAGUGGCGAAGGCGGCUCACUGGCCCGAUACUGACGCUGAGGCACGAAAGCGUGGGGAGCAAACAGG
rnacentral:rRNA from 1 species